rfam:Triticum urartu cultivar G1812 contig83660, whole genome shotgun sequence.
AAUAUACUCCCUCCGUCCAGAAAUACUCGUCACAGAAAUGGAUAUAAAUGAAUGCACCUAAAGCUAAAAUACUUCUAAAUACAUCCAUUCCUCCGACAAGUAUUUCCGGAUGGAGGGAGUAUUUA